AAAGAUAAACAUAUUGGAAGGAAAAGUUAUCAAGCCUUUUGUAAAUGGCAUGCACAGAGUGAAAUUAACCAUACAUUUUUCCGGGAAAAAAACAAAUUAAACUUACUGUUUUAUCAAGUAUCUUGUAAUUUUCCACUUUGUCUGACAGCAUGAUUCGUUUAAUGGUGCGUGGAUGGUCCCUGAUAAGCCCCGCCUUCCUCAUUUCCAUAUCCACCUUACGUAGGAGUAUCUUGCGUGCCGCCACAAUCACAUGCUGUACGUCGUCCAUUAGCCAAUCACUCGUGUUCACUCAUAGUUCACGUGGGACAAUCUGAUGAUUUGGUCUGGAAACAUUUCUGGAUGUUCAUAAAGUUAUUAAUACCCAACAUACUGCUUUGUGAAAUAUGUGAGACAGUUAUGAAACUAAUUGCUGUACUUUGACCUUCCACUUCUUACUAUGACCUCGGCUUUAAGGUAGCACGUUUGUGAUUGUGCUCGACACAACAACAUUUUAUAGUGGUUAAUUGUGUUACUUAUUUUGAAAUCUUUAAAUUGUUAGGAAAUAUGAGAGCAGAAAAUAUCAUUCCGACAAUGAAUUUGACAUUCAAGUAAGUAUGGUAUUGACGUUUAUGGCAGCAAUGUCUUUUUAUGCCUGACACAUAUUGUAAUAUAGAAUUACGUUUGAGCAAAACUGUUUCAAAUUUCUUGAAUGCAUACUAAAGCAAGAGAAUAGACUGGCCCUUUUCGGAUAAUAAAAAGUUGUAUUGCUAUUUUUGACCCCAAGGAAUUACCUUGAUCUAUAAAGGUUCGUAAAUUUAUGUUGUUCUUUUAUGCGUCAAACUGUCUCAACAUACUAGGCGAUUAUAUUUAUUUAUUGGUUUUUUACAUAAAAUGCAGAUUAGCUUUAGAAUAGACAGGAGGACAACUGGACUGACUGAUGGAUAAUACGAUUCCUAUUGUUAUCAAGUUUUAGAGCGGUCUAUUUUCUUUUCUUAUUUUCACAUCAUUGACCUUCACUCCAACCUUUCCAAGCUAAAUCAGAGUUAUGCUAUAAGGUAAAUAAAAAUAUAUGUUUGCAUGUAUUUCAAUUUAUUGUACUGUUUUUGAGCACACAUUUUGUAUUAUUUUCCGUUACACUUGCAAUCCAACUUAACCCAUUAUGAAUGCCAUCCAAAGUAAAUAACUGUUUAUGGUAUCUUAAUAGUAAUAUUUAUUCUUGAUUCAAAUAAUGGAAAUUCCAAAUGUCCACCCACUGUAAAAUGUUUUCUCUUUGUCAUUAUAUGACCUUUUAGACUGAAGCCAGUCAUGUCUGCUUCUACACCAUGCAUUUAUUUAACAGAGUUCAUUAUUAUAUGGCUUUCGUUGUAUGUGUGUAUAUUGUUGCAAAUAUAUUCUGAUCUAUUAUAAAAUUGUACAUUAAGUAUUUUUGUUGGUAUGUGUAAUUUAAAUACAAACAAAAGUUCAGCAAAAACAUAAUUAUAGAGAUAUUUGCUUUCAUCAUAAUUCGGAGUCAUUUAUUAUGAUGCUGGUUCUUUCAAUUGCAUUUUAAUAACUGGUAAUUAUACAAAAAAAGUAUUUAUAAUUAUGCUCAUUUAUUAAGAUACUUAUCAUAAAUUUCAUUUUGAUUAUUGAAACGUGUUUAUAUUCAGUGCAUGUAUUAUGAUGGUAAUAUGGUGUGUGUUUGGUCUUGUAUUACUUAAGUGAAAGGUGAUUGUAAUAGCUUUAAAAGGUUUGCUGUUCUGUUCAUAUAAAAUGCAUUUUUAGAAUUUGUUAUUGCAUUAUCUUGACAUAUUAUUUUUAAUUGAUUUUUGAUGACUGAUGAUUGUAUUAUCAGCCUUGAUUUGUAUGCCCCCCUUCGAAGAAGAGGGGGUAUAUUGCUUUGCACAUGUCGGUCUGUCGGUCGGUCCGUCCACCAGGUGGUUUCCGGAUGAUAACUCAAUAACGCUUGGGCCUAGGAUCAUGAAACUUCAUAGGUACAUUGAUCAUGACUCGCAGAUGACCCCUAUUGAUUUUCAGGUCACUAGGUCAAAGGUCAAGGUCACGGUGACCCGAAAUAGUAAAAUGGGGUCCGGAUUAUAACUCAAGAACACUUAGCCCAAGGAUCAUGAAACUUAAUAGGUAGAUUGAUCAUGACUCGCAGAUGACCCCUAUUGAUUUUCAGGUCACUAGGUCAAAGGUCAAGGUCACGGUGACCCGAAAUAGUAAAACGGUUUCCGGAUGAUAACUCAAGAACGCUUAUGGCUAGGAUCAUGAAACUUCAUAGGUACAUUGAUCAUGACUGGCAGAUGACCCCUAUUGAUUUUCAGGUCACUAGGUCAAAGGUCAAGGUCACAGUGACAAAAACAUAUUCACACAAUGGCUGUCACUACAACGGAGAGCCCAUAUGGGGGGCAUGCAUGUUUUACAAACAGCCCUUGUUAUAAAAACAAGUGGAAUGGCUUAUACUACUCAAAAUUUAUGGUUUUGGUGAUGUAGAAUGUAGCAUUUAAUUCAGUUAUAUGUUCUUUGUAUAAUGAUUACCUGUACUUAAAGUUUUGAUGAAUAUAUUGAUGGAUUUUUUUUACACAAAAAGAAUGAUAAUACAUAACUAUUAAAACAAAACGUGAACAUUUGGGCUUUCCAGGGUAACAGCUCCUAUCACAUUUAAUAUGUUAAUUCCAUAAAAAGUAAAUAAUCUUGAAUUUUGUAACUUUUAUGAUGAAUCAAUUUGUGAAAUUGUUUUAACCAAUAUAUGUUGCUAUGCUGUAUUUGCAAUAAUGCUUUUGCAAGUUCAGCAAAACUCAAAUAACGUGACUUUAUAAAAUAACUUUUUUAGUAUUAUUCACUUACAUUGUGGUAUACGUCUUCCACAGAGCCCGUCUGUCUGCAUAAUUGUUUUUGUCUAUGAACGUGACUAUGUACAUCUUGGACAUUUUCUGAAAUACAAUUUAUAAC